rnacentral:lncRNA from 1 species
UUGAAGUCAGGCCACUUGUGCCACGGCUUGAGCAAACCGUGCUGCCUGUAGCUCCGCCAAUAACGGGAGGCGUAAUAAUCCCGGGGAGGCCAUGCGCCACGGAAGCUGUACGCGUGGC